rnacentral:rRNA from 1 species
UACAGAGGGUGCGAGCGUUAAUCGGAAUUACUGGGCGUAAAGGGCGCGUAGGCGGAUUUGUAAGUUAUGUGUGAAAGCUCUGGGCUUAACCUGGGAACUGCACAUAAUACUGUAAGUCUAGAGUAGAGUAGAGGAAAGUGGAAUUUCCGGUGUAGCGGUGAAAUGCGUAGAUAUCGGAAGGAACACCAGUGGCGAAGGCGGCUUUCUGGACUCAUACUGACGCUGAGGCGCGAAAGCGUGGGGAGCAAACAGG